UACGAAGGGGGCUAGCGUUGCUCGGAUUGACUGGGCGUAAAGGGCGCGUAGGCGGUUCGUACGGUCAGACGUGAAAUUCCUGGGCUCAACCUGGGGGCUGCGUUUGAUACGUGCGGACUUGAGUGCGGAAGAGGGUCGUGGAAUUCCCAGUGUAGAGGUGAAAUUCGUAGAUAUUGGGAAGAACACCGGUGGCGAAGGCGGCGACCUGGUCCGAUACUGACGCUGAGGCGCGAAAGCGUGGGGAGCAAACAGG
rnacentral:rRNA from 1 species